rnacentral:rRNA from 1 species
UAAACCCUUUAACGAGGAUCUAUUGGAGGGCAAGUCUGGUGCCAGCAGCCGCGGUAAUUCCAGCUCCAAUAGCGUAUAUUAAAGUUGUUGCAGUUAAAAAGCUCGUAGUUGGAUCUCGGGUCCAGGCUGGCGGUCCGGCGCAUGCCGGUUACUGCUUGUCCUGACCUACCUCCCGGUCGCGCCCUUGGUGCUCUUGAUUGAGUGUCUCGGGUCGCCGGAACGUUUACUUUGAAAAAAUUAGAGUGUUCAAAGCAGGCAAUUCGCCUGAAUAAUGGUGCAUGGAAUAAUGGAAUAGGACCUCGGUUCUAUUUUGCUGGUUUUCGGAGCUCGAGGUAAUGAUUAAGAGGGACUGACGGGGGCAUUCGUAUUACGGUGUUAGAGGUGAAAUUCUUGGAUCGCCGUAAGACGAACCGCUGCGAAAGCGUUUGCCAAGAAUGUUUUCAUUAGUCAAGAACGAAAGUCAGAGGUUCGAAGACGAUCAGAUACCGUCGUAGUUCUGACCAUAAACGAUGCCAACUAGCGAUCCGCCGGAGUUGCUUCAAUGACUCGGCGGGCAGCCCCCGGGAAACCAAAGUUUUUGGGUUCCGGGGGAAGUAUGGUUGCAAAGCUGAAACUUAA